AGGGAAAGGACUACGAUAUGAUAAUAAUAUAGUAAAUGAUCACUUUACCGUCACAGAUCGUCAUUACCCGGAAAAAAAAUUCAUUGUUUCUCGAUAUGCGCAUGUGCUUUUAGAGUAAAGCCCCCGAAAAAUAGAUUAAAACCUGUUUCUUUUUCGUCUUUGUCUCCACCACUUUUCACAUCCAAAACUAAACCCUUGUUUGUUCCACCUUCUUGUUUCACUGUUGUGUUUCUUCGUUUUCCCCUCUACCGAAUCCACAAUGCGAAUCUCUGAAUCGGACUCGUUGAUAUCUCGGCAUCUCUCUCUCUCGAUUUUCCCGUUCUAUCCAUUCGUUUCUCCGUCCGAUCCGGCCAGGCUUUCAAAUUUUCCAGUAUGCUGGAGCGUUGAAGAAGAGGAGGGCUUUCAGUUAAAUGGGUGUUGUGCAACUCUAUCCAGCGAACCUGGUCUGGAGGAUGGUGUAACCGAGAUGAAGAACAAGAACACGGUAAAUGUGGUUAAGCCGAUUGAUACAGAAAAGAAAACAGUGACAAACAUGAUGAUUUCUCUGUGGAAGAGAAGGGAGAUAGAUCUAAGCAAGUGAGGUUGACAACAUGGGUGAUUGUUUUGUUGAUGAGGUGAAAGCAGGGAAUGCUCUUCUCUGUCUGUGGCAAAUGAUUACAGAAAAGAGAUUGACAAACAAUGGUGUGGCUGUGGAAAAAGGAAAGAAAGGGAGGCAAAAGUAGUGAUGGCUUUUCUGUUAAGAAGAAGCUACUACGUGAGCUUGUGGAAUUUCCUGGUGCCUAAGGAGACUCAUGGAAAAGAGGACGGCCUCGGAAGCUGCAGAUUAGCAGUCAGUCUGAUGGUAACGAGGACAAAGUUAUUUGCGUUAAGGAGAAGCAAGAUCUAGGGAAUGAGCAAUGGGCGGAACCUAAUAAGAUUCUAGGAGUCAGUCAGGUUGAGAUUCGGGUGGGUAGAUCAUACGAUGAAAAUGGGCCACAUAAUGAAGAGCUAAAAGUCAAACGUAAGCGGGGAAAGUUACCGGCUGAGAAUGUCAGACUGUGAGCAUGGGAGCACCCUGUUAACGUUGGAACAGAGUAACUCUAUUGAGAUGAUUCCAGGAGGAGACCAAAGCGUAACUGUGGAGGCAGGGCUAAGAGACAUGACUUUGACGGAGGCGAUUGCAGGAGGGGAAGGAAGCGUGGAAGACCUCCAACACCAAAGACGAAGAAGAAACCUGGGGAGACUGAUUGUAAAGCAAUGAAGCCUUGUGAGAGUUCCUCAAUGUCACGGGACAACAAACCCUCAAGUGAUGGCGAAAUGAGGAUUGGAGAACAAAAGCAAAAUAAUGAUAGGAAGACGAUCUUUAUUAGAAUCCAAGAAAAAGCAAGCUUAGUUUGAGUUACUUCUAGCUGCUGGUUGGACAGUUGAAUACAGGCCCCGUAACGGCGGGAAGACGUAGCACAACGCUGCUGUUUAUGUGAAUCCCCACUGGUCAGUGACCAAAGCUUAUGAAGUCUAUAAAGUAAAUUCUAGAUCAAGCAGACUCUGUUCUUGGGUUACUGCCAGAAGAGGACCUUGACCUUUUAAGGAGAAAAGCUCAGAAGAAACGGAGCGAUACAGGUAAGCCAAAGGUCAAAGAACCGCAAGGACACAUAUACUAAUGAAGAUAUGGUCUCGAAAGAGAAAAAGCGCAGAAGAAACGAAAAGGGUCACACAGCUUAGAAAGAAGUUUGGUUUCAGUCCGGAAAAUAAAGAGGGAAGAAAAACAUAAUAGAAAGCUGCGGUGCUUUGUCAGCUCGCAGUUCUUUGUCGGAUGCAGAUUCCAACGAGAAUGGGUACAUUUUGUUUGAAGGGAAACGCACCAUGCUGGGAUGGAUGAUUGAUUCAGCCAUUGUGCCACUUAACGGGAAAGUUCACUGCGAAAACACUGAAGAAGGAAUAAUCACAAAAGAAGUGGAGAUCAAAAUGAUGAUACAUGUGCUAUAUGCGGGGACGCGGGAGAUCUUAACUGCUGUGAUGGUUGCCCGUCAACUUUCCAUCAGAGCUGCCUGGGCAUUAAAGUAA